rnacentral:rRNA from 1 species
GAAAAGUACCCCGAUGAGGGGAGUGAAAUAGAACCUGAAACCGUAUGUCUACAAUCGGUGGAAGAGCUAUGCACGUAAGUGAAUGCUCGACCGCGUCCCUUUUGCAUCAUGGGUUGGCGAGUCAACGUUUGCAGCGAGGUUAAGCCGUCAGGUGUAGCCGAAGCGAAAGCGAGUCUGAAUAGGGCGCAUAGUUGCAGGCGUUGGACCCGAAGCCGGUCGAUCUACGCAUGGGCAGGUUGAAGCGAGGGUAAUGCCUCGUGGAGGACCGAACCCAUUAGAGUUGAAAAUCUUUGGGAUGACUUGUGCGUAGGGGUGAAAGGCCAAUCAAGGCCGGUGAUAGCUGGUUCUCCCCGAAAGAUAUUUAGGUAUCGCCUCGGAUGUUUACUAGCGGAGGUAGAGCACUGAAAAGGCUAGGGCGCCUACAAGCGUACCGACCCUUAUCAAACUCCGAAUGCCGCUAAGUAUAGUCCGGGAGACAGGCUAUGGGUGAUAAGGUCCAUAGCCAAGAGGGAAACAGCCCAGACCAUCAGCUAAGGUCCCUAAAUCUCGACUAAGUGGAAAAGGAUGUGGAAGCGCUUAGACAACCAGGAGGUUGGCUUAGAAGCAGCCACCCUUAAAAGAGUGCGUAAUAGCCCACUGGUCAAGUGAUUCCGCGCCGACAAUGUAACGGGGCUCAAGCACAUCGCCGAAGUUGUGGCAUUCACACCGAUAACUCGGCCGUAAGGUCCAGGUGUGUGGAUGGGUAGGGGAGCGUCGUGUGGCGAGCGAAGCGGCGGGGUGACCCAGCCGUGGACGCCACACGAGUGAGAAUGCAGGCAUGAGUAGCGAAAGACGGGUGAGAAACCCGUCCGCCGGAUGACCAAGGGUUCCAGGGCCAGGCUAAUCCGCCCUGGGUAAGUCGGGACCUAAGACGAGGCCGACAGGCGUAGUCGAUGGACAACGGGUUGAUAUUCCCGUACCGGUUUACACACGACCAUGACGAGCCCAGUGAUGCUAAGCCCACAAAGUCGAGGAACUCUUCGGAGGGAAUCGGUGGAGUGCGCGAACCGAACUGGUAGUAGUCAAGCAAUGGGGUGACGCAGGAAGGUAGCUCAACCGCGGCGAUGGUAGACCGCGGCCAAGGUUGUAGGGCGAGAUGUAGGUAAAUCCGCAUCUCAUACGCCUGAGAACUGAUGGGGAGCCGACUUAGGCGAAGUGAGUGAUCCUAUGCUGCCGAGAAAAGCCUCUAGCGAGUGUGCAAGCCGCCCGUACCCCAAACCGACACAGGUGGUCAGGUAGAGAAUACCAAGGCGAUCGAGUGAACUGUGGUUAAGGAACUCGGCAAAUUGCCCCCGUAACUUCGGGAGAAGGGGGGCCGCGGCUGGUGAUGGGACUUGCUCCCUGAGCUGGCUACGGCCGCAGAGACCAGGUGGAAGCGACUGUUUACUAAAAACACAGGUCCAUGCAAAGUCGCAAGACGACGUAUAUGGACUGACGCCUGCCCGGUGCUGGAACGUUAAGGGGACCAGUCAGUUCUUCGGAGCGAAGCUGAGAACUUAAGCGCCAGUAAACGGCGGUGGUAACUAUAACCAUCCUAAGGUAGCGAAAUUCCUUGUCGGGUAAGUUCCGACCUGCACGAAUGGCGUAACGACUUCCCAACUGUCUCAACCGCAAACUCGGCGAAAUUGCACUACGAGUAAAGAUGCUCGUUACGCGUGGCAGGACGGAAAGACCCCGGGACCUUUACUACAGCUUGGUAUUGGUGGUCGGUUCGAUUUGUGUAGCAUAGGUGGGAGACUUGGAAGCCCGGACGCCAGUUCGGGUGGAGUCGUCGUUGAAAUACCACUCUGAUCGUAUUGGCUGUCUAACCUCGAUCCGUAAUCCGGAUUAGGGACAGUGCCUGGUGGGUAGUUUAACUGGGGCGGUUGCCUCCCAAAGAGUAACGGAGGCGCUCAAAGGUUCCCUCAGCCUGGUUGGCAAUCAGGUAUCGAGUGUAAGUGCACAAGGGAGCUUGACUGUGAGACUGACAGGUCGAGCAGGGACGAAAGUCGGAACUAGUGAUCCGGCGCCGGCAUGUGGAAGCGGCGUCGCUCAACGGAUAAAAGGUACCCCGGGGAUAACAGGCUGAUCUUGCCCAAGAGUCCAUAUCGACGGCAUGGUUUGGCACCUCGAUGUCGGCUCGUCGCAUCCUGGGGCUGGAGUCGGUCCCAAGGGUUGGGCUGUUCGCCCAUUAAAGCGGCACGCGAGCUGGGUUUAGAACGUCGUGAGACAGUUCGGUCCCUAUCCGCCACGCGCGUAAGAGUCUUGAGGAGAUCUGUCCCUAGUACGAGAGGACCGGGACGGACGAACCUCUGGUGUGCCAGUUGUCCUGCCAAGGGCACGGCUGGUUAGCUACGUUCGGAAGGGAUAACCGCUGAAAGCAUCUAAGCGGGAAGCCCACUCCAAGAUAAGGGCUCUCACUGGUUUACCAGGUAAGGACCCCAGCUAGACGACUGGGUUGAUAGGCCGGAUGUGGAAGCACAGCAAUGUGUGGAGCUGACCGGUACUAAUAGUCCGAGGACUUG